rnacentral:rRNA from 1 species
GACGAACGCUGGCGGCGUGCUUAACACAUGCAAGUCGAACGGAAAGGCCCUGCUUUUGUGGGGUGCUCGAGUGGCGAACGGGUGAGUAACACGUGAGUAACCUGCCCUUGACUUUGGGAUAACUUCAGGAAACUGGGGCUAAUACCGGAUAGGAGCUCCUGCUGCAUGGUGGGGGUUGGAAAGUUUCGGCGGUUGGGGAUGGACUCGCGGCUUAUCAGCUUGUUGGUGGGGUAGUGGCUUACCAAGGCUUUGACGGGUAGCCGGCCUGAGAGGGUGACCGGCCACAUGGGGACUGAGAUACGGCCCAGACUCCUACGGGAGGCAGCAGUGGGGAAUAUUGCACAAUGGGCGGAAGCCUGAUGCAGCAACGCCGCGUGCGGGAUGACGGCCUUCGGGUUGUAAACCGCUUUCGCCUGUGACGAAGUGUGAGUGACGGUAAUGGGUAUAGAAGCACCGGCUAACUACGUG